GCCAAAGAAGAUGAAGAUGGCCAUCCUCAAUCCCAUUUUUCUAAUUGUUCUCAUCAGCUCAUUACAGAUCUCUUUGGGUACUUCUGCUUUGGCUGAGGUGACAACUACUUCACAAGUGUAUGCAGGGUUACAGAAAACCUGGUUUUUGAAGUACAAAGAUACUGAUUAUGCCCCAAAACCUUCACCACCGCCAGCUCCGAAACCUAGUCCGCCAAAAGUACCAAUUUCAGAAGACGUCCUAUCCAAGAGAGCUCCCCCGAGUCCGUACAUAGCUUCAGCUUGAAUGGUUCAAGCAUCGAUCAAUCCAUCGAUGAUAUCAGACAGAAGUUCAUUCAGAGAUUGUUACCACUCUCCAAUAUUUUCGAGGACCUGUAGGUUACUCAUCUUAAUAAUUCUCUCGUCCAGUAAUUUUAAUUUCUAGUUUGCCCGGUGCAUCAUAUCACCAAAUUGUUAAUUGCGGAUAAUGUCUCUCCUAUCUGUUUUAUAUUCAUUGGUUGUAAUUUUGGUA